rnacentral:sRNA from 1 species
AGAAUCGAAACUGAGAGCUCCUGGGCAGGCUCGGCAGGGCAGGCAGCUCCAGGAGGGCUUCGAACCGUGGCCAACAGUUCCAGUGGACCGCGUGGACCCGUGAGCUCAGGAGCCUCAGACGCCGCCCCGGAGAGCCAAGCUGGUGUUCGAGGUGGCGCCUCCAGGGUCCAGCCUGCUGCCCAACAGCCCCACGGCCACCAGAGGGCCAUCCCUGGCCCGGCUGUGUGCCCUGGUGGACCUGUGUCUGGGCUGCUCCCACUGCACCCAGCGGCUCAAUGAAAGCACCUACGUCCUCCGCAGGGUGGAGCAUGACUGCUCCCGUGAGAUCCUGCUGGCCCGCUUUAAGCAGGCCACCAAGAGCAAGGUCUGGCGCGUGGUGGGCUGCCGGCCCACCUUCCCGAGGCCCCUGUGCUACCAAGUCUGCCGCUACUACAGCCCUGGGCUCGGCUGCCGGCGCCACCGAAACCGGUGCACCUUUGCCCGCAGUCGUGAGGAGGCCCUGGUCUGGACCUUCGAGCGUCAGCACAACCUCCAGCGCCUAUGGCUGAAGGCGGAGGUGCAGGGCGGCGGGGCCCAGGGAGGGGCAGGCCGGGCGGCCGACGCCAUCCUCACAGAGUUUGGCGGCCGCUUCGAGCUGCUUUGCUCCCUCUGCUUCAGGUGCUCUCCCCCACGCGUCUGUCGCGUGGACCCCCAGAGGCAGUGCCCUGAGCACGGAGCCUGCCCCUCCCUCCUGGCCCACGUGAGCGCCGAGGGCCGCCGCAAGCAACAGUUUGUGGCGGUGAGGCCGCAGCCCCGGGCCGGCCAGCCUCCUGCCUACUGCAGGUUUGUGGGGCGUGGGCAGCCGUGCUGGCGUGGGGAGUCCCGCUGCCAGUUCGCACACAGCGCCGUGGAGAUGGCUGUGUGGGAGGCCGAGCAGCUGGGUGGCCUCCAGCGGGGGGACCUGCUCACACCCCCUGCCCCUGAUGGCGACGGGCGCACGGCCCCCCUUGGCCAGCCCCCUGGAGCCCAGCUGUACUGCCCGGCCUGCUUGGUCACCUGUCACUCUCAGGAGGCCUUCGAGAACCACUGCGCAUCCUCGGAGCACGCACAGAUGGUGGCCUUCGACCAGGCCGUGCCCUGGGAGCACCGUUCCCCACCCCCGGGACUCUCCAAGUUCGAGCUCUGCCCAAAGUAAGGAUGCUCGAGGCAGGAGCUUGGAGUAGGGCAGGAGCCCACCGUAGGCAGAGCCAGAGGCUCCCAGGAGCUUGGAGCGGGGCAGGAGCCCACCAUAGGCAGAGCCAGAGGCUCCCAGGUUCAGUGGACGGGGGCCUCCCUGCCACCUGCUGAGGGCUAAAGCCAUGUGGCCUCUGAGGACCUGGAUAAGGUUCAUGUUUGGGAACCGCUUGAGCCAGGCCUUGUCCUGGGAGCACAGGAGUGGGUGGGACAAAUAAAGCCCCUGCUCCCUACAGAGGCCAGUAUUGGGCUGAGGGGGUCCCGGCCUUUGAACUCAGCACGGUGGCUGUGCCUCCGUGUAGCCCUGCCGACCUCCCUGUCCCCCAGGCCUGACCUCUGUGAGUAUGGGGACGCCUGCACCAAGGCGCACUCAGCACGGGAGCUGCAGGAGUGGGUCCAGCGCACGCAGGCUGUGGAGCUGCGGGGGCAGGCGGCCUGGCAGGAUGGGCUGGUGCCCUACCAGGAGCGGCUGCUGGCCGAGUACCAGCGCAGCAGCAGUGAGGUCCUUGUGGUAAGUGGGCCCUGGGAGUGGGUGGGGUGGGGUGGGGUCCAGGCCUCCUGCUGAAGGCUAGACUUCCACACAGCUGGCAGAGACCCUUGAUGGAGUUCGUGUCACCUGCAACCAGCCCCUGAUGUACCAGGCCCAGGAGAGGAAGACCCAGUACAGCUGGACGUUUGCCGUCCACUCCGAGGUGAGCAGAGAGCAGCUCCGACUGGGCGGAGGGAGCCCUGGGGAAGUGGUGACCUCAGCCCGGGCAGACGUCAAGAGCCUGGGUCGUGGAGCUAAUACCGAGGCACUGCCGCUCAGCGCCUGGGUGACCUGCGGCAGGUCCCUUAGCUCUCUGCCUCAGUCUCCUCACCUAGAGACAGGGGGGCCAGGACAGUCCCACCUUGGCAGGGUUACUCUAUGGAGUAUAUGGGUUAAAACAAGGAUUUGGCCAGGUGCGGUGGUUCACACCUGUAAUCCCAGCACUUUGGGAGGCCGAGGCAGGUGGAUCACCUGAAGUCAGGAGUUCAAGAUCAGCCUGGCCAAUAUGGCAAAACUCCGUCUCUACUAAAAAAAAAAAAAAAA